GCGGGAAUUCAAGGAGAGGUACUUCGCUGAUCUCCAGGCAUGGAUUCCGGAAACGGACGCAGUAGCUGAGACCGAGGAACCUAACGACAGCGUGUUCGACUUCGACUAUGAAGAGGGCCAAGAAGCAAAGACCAGUGAAGCGGAAGGAAAAGCUGAUAAAGGAGUUCACAAGAAACCGAAUGAAAAGGUGAUUCCAGCACCAACUGCACCAACUGUACAGGUGAAGGAACCCACGGGCAAGGAAACAAACAAAGGUGCUAAAGACACACCACCUGUGGCCAAAAACCCUCGACUAAGGCGUGAACGCUAUUUCGAGUGCAAUAAAUGAGUGAAUAAAAAGACGACUGCUCGCCAAA